AUAUAUAUAUAUAAGCACAAACUUAUAUCAUAUCUUGCUACUACGUCUUUCUAAAAUUAAUUAGUUAGACUUUGUAUAAAAAAAGAUUGAUUAUUCAAAAACAUCAAGGCCUUAUACUAUUAUACACUAUGUUUUACUUUAGUUUGAGUGUUUUUGAAAGCAUAUAGAAGAUCCAUCUUUGAAUAGACUAAAAUAAAAUGCUAAUUUAAGAAUAAUGUUAUCUUAGAUGGAUAAAAAAUCAAACAUGUUCAACGACACAUAUUUUAGCAUCUAUACUACCCCCUCCAUUUUACAAAAAAGUGUCAUUUUUGAAAAACAAAAUAACUUAAAAUGAAUGUCAUUUUUAAUUUCCAAUUUGAUAUUAAUUACUUAUUAUUUUCAAUUGUACCCUUACGUUAAUAUAAGAUGCACCACUACAAAACCAUUAUAUUAUACUUUGUAUUUAUGAUCAUCGUCAACACAUCAAUGCAUAUAAGGAU
rnacentral:lncRNA from 1 species